rnacentral:lncRNA from 1 species
AAAACUCCCAGGGAAGACGACAACAAAGGUAAUCAAGGCAAAACAUACCAUUAAAUCUGCCAACAUCCUUGGUUGUUCUAGAACUAGUGUAUUUCCCUUUAUGUACCUACCCCUUGAUCUACUGCUUGCAAAAUUUGCCCCUGUACUGAAUUGUUGUUGCAGAACCUGACAUGAAUCUUGUCCCCCUGUUCUUGCCUCCCCCCUACACCUGCAGAACUGAAAAUAUUGUUGGCAUGAAGGAAAACUACUGCCUCUUGAAAACACAUCAUGUUUAUUGGCUUGCACGUUGCUUCUGCAAAACAAACAGGAAACAUAGUUUUGUGUGUUAAUAAUCUGUGCAUGGUAAGAACUGCUUCAAGAAAAAGCUAGGAAAAAGCUAUUGUACUAACGCAGUUGCUUAAAAAAAGCUAGUUACUUUAGACUAAAUUGCUUACAAAAACACAAAAUAAAAACUCCAGGAAAGAAGCCUGAAACUAUUAGUAGAAAAAAAAUCAUGAAUCCAUAUGAAUACUGCUCACUGAGUUUGGGUGUGUUCUGGUGAUUUUUGAAAAAUAAUGCCCCUGUUCAUUGAGUUUUUUUCUUCUCAAAACGUGUUUUCAUUUACAUUAUGUCGCUUCCGAAAUAAUUCCUACCCUACUUUUUGUUUUCUAAAAUGUGCAGAUGUCCAGCCUUGACCACAAUGAGCUCCCCCAUGACUUUGAUGACUGUGAUGGUGGUCCCAUGUAAUGCACACAAGCUCGACCUGAGAAGGUCCCUAUUUCUAUCGAGGGGGUAGGCGAGCCGCCGGAUUGGUGUUCUGCUCCUGUCGAAGAUGUUGUCGGUGUGGGGUUUCAUGUUGCAGCGGCAGCUGCUACUGGUGCGUCUGAUGCGACUGCAACUGUUGAAACUAUCCUGCCAGCACCUGCCAUGUUCAGCCCGGCUGGAACAGAUAGUGGGCCAGGUCGAGUCAACCUGUCACCGAGGGGGCGGGGAGGUGAGUGUGUCCUCGCGUUAGGCGAUUCGGUUGGGAGUUUUCGGUGGUUUCAGACGACUUGAUUAGUCGGGUGAGGCUACCUAGGGGUCAUCGAAGUGGGGGCGGCGAGUGCAUCCUUUGUGUUAGGCAAUUCAGUUGGGGGUGUUCGAUGGUUUUGGGCGACUUGGUUCGUCAGGUGAGGCGACCUAGGGGUCACCGAGGGGACGGGGAGGCGAGAGCGUCCUCGUGUUUGGCNNNNNNNNNNNNNNNNNNNNNNNNNNNNNNNNNNNNNNNNNNNNNNNNNNNNNNNNNNNNNNNNNNNNNNNNNNNNNNNNNNNNNNNNNNNNNNNNNNNNGCGACUUGGUUCAUCGGAUGAGGCGACCUAGGGGUCAGCGAGGUAGGGGGAGGCGAGUGUGUCCUUUGUGUUAGGCGAUUCGGUUGGGGGUGUUCGGUGGUUUUGGGCGACUUGGUUCCUCGAGUGAGGCGACCUAGGGGUCGCCAAGGUCGGCGGGAGGCGAGUGUGCACUCGUGUUAGGCAAUUCAGUUGGUGGUGUUCGGUGUCUAGGCAGUAUAUUUUGGGCAUCCUUGAUUGUUGUGGGCUACUUUAUCUACUAUCCACUAUAAGAAAAGGGGGUGUGUGAGCACAUGGAAUAAUCCUAAAAAGUCCAUCGUUGGUAGAAAAAAAGUAUAUGUGUAUAAAAAAUAUCAGAAUAAGAUGUAUGGGGGGUGGGGGUUGUGUUGGGGGCUUUGCCUGUUAUCUUGCUUUGGGCUUGCCUGUUAUCUUCCUAAGUCGUGGCAAUGUUGCGGGAACACGUAGGAGACAGGAAAAAGGAGCAAAAAAGUGUGUCGACUGUACCUCGCCAUUCUGUUGAUCUGGGUAGUCAUCCAUCAUAAAAACUACCACUCGAGGGUUACUGAAAAAGAUGCCCUCCCCCGUAGUUUUUCACUUUUGGUUUUUGCCUGCAUUUGAAAUGAAAUAUGAUUUAGAAAACAGGUGUGGAAAAACCCCUUUGCCGACUACUCGAAGCAGCAAACCUUGCCGACGUUAAAGCAUCGUGAAUUCAGAAUUCACUACUUCUCAUCAU